rnacentral:rRNA from 1 species
GACACGGCCCAGACUCCUACGGGAGGCAGCAGUAGGGAAUCUUCCGCAAUGGACGAAAGUCUGACGGAGCAACGCCGCGUGAGUGAUGAAGGCUUUCGGGUCGUAAAACUCUGUUGUUAGGGAAGAAUAAGUACAAGAGUAACUGCUUGUACCUUGACGGUACCUAACCAGAAAGCCACGGCUAACUACGUGCCAGCAGCCGCGGUAAUACGUAGGUGGCAAGCGUUAUCCGGAAUUAUUGGGCGUAAAGCGCGC